rnacentral:tRNA from 1 species
GGGCGUGACGCUAUUUGGCGUGGUACUCUGCAAAGGUAUUGUAGAUAGUUAUUAUCCUCGUCUU